rfam:Danaus plexippus plexippus isolate F-2 unplaced genomic scaffold DPSCF300001, whole genome shotgun sequence.
AAAAAGGCCCUUUUCAGGGCCGCAUAUGUAUCCGUUAAAAUAUAUU